UUAGAGUUUGAUCCUGGCUCAGAUUGAACGCUGGCGGUAUGCUUAACACAUGCAAGUCGAACGGAAACGAUACUAGCUUGCUAGUAGGCGUCGAGUGGCGGACGGGUGAGUAACGCGUAGGAAUCUGCCUGAUAGUGGGGGAUAGCCCGAAGAAAUUCGGAUUAAUACCGCAUAAUCUAUUCGUAGUAAAGUGGGGGACUUUCGAGCCUCACGCUAUCAGAUGAGCCUGCGUAAGAUUAGCUAGUUGGUAGGGUAAAAGCCUACCAAGGCAACGAUCUUUAGCUGGUCUGAGAGGAUGAUCAGCCACAUCGGGACUGAGACACGGCCCGAACUCCUACGGGAGGCAGCAGUGGGGAAUAUUGGACAAUGGGGGCGACCCUGAUCCAGCAAUACCGCGUGUGUGAAGAAGGCCUGAGGGUUGUAAAGCACUUUCAAUUGUGAAGAAAAGUUAACGGUUAAUAACCGUUAGCCUUGACGUUAACUUUAGAAGAAGCACCGGCUAACUCCGUGCCAGCAGCCGCGGUAAUACGGAGGGUGCAAGCGUUAAUCGGAAUUACUGGGCGUAAAGCGUGCGUAGGCGGUUUAUUAAGUCAGAUGUGAAAGCCCCGGGCUUAACCUGGGAACUGCAUUUGAAACUGGUCAACUAGAGUAUGGUAGAGGAAAGUGGAAUUUCUGGUGUAGCGGUGAAAUGCGUAGAUAUCAGAAGGAACAUCAAUGGCGAAGGCAGCUUUCUGGGCCAAUACUGACGCUGAGGUACGAAAGCGUGGGUAGCAAACAGGAUUAGAUACCCUGGUAGUCCACGCCGUAAACGAUGAUAACUAGCCGUUGGGGGGAUUUACCCUUUAGUGGCGAAGCUAACGCGUUAAGUUAUCCGCCUGGGGAGUACGGCCGCAAGGUUAAAACUCAAAGGAAUUGACGGGGACCCGCACAAGCGGUGGAGCAUGUGGUUUAAUUCGAUGCAACGCGAAGAACCUUACCUGGUCUUGACAUCCUGCGAACUUUCUAGAAAUAGAUUGGUGCCUUCGGGAACGCAGUGACAGGUGCUGCAUGGCUGUCGUCAGCUCGUGUCGUGAGAUGUUGGGUUAAGUCCCGUAACGAGCGCAACCCCUAUCCUUAUUUGCCAGCACGUCAUGGUGGGAACUAUAAGGAGACUGCCGGUGAUAAACCGGAGGAAGGCGGGGACGACGUCAAGUCAUCAUGGCCCUUACGACCAGGGCUACACACGUGCUACAAUGGGAAGGACAAAGAGCCGCGAAGCCGCGAGGUGUAGCUAAUCUCAGAAACCUUUUCGUAGUCCGGAUUGGAGUCUGCAACUCGACUCCAUGAAGUCGGAAUCGCUAGUAAUCGUAGAUCAGAAUGCUACGGUGAAUACGUUCCCGGGUCUUGUACACACCGCCCGUCAUACCAUGGGAGUGGGUUGCACCAGAAGUGGCUAGUCUAACUUAGUGAGGACGGUCACCACGGUGUGAUUCAUGACUGGGGUAAAGUCGUAACAAGGUAACC
rnacentral:rRNA from 1 species